rnacentral:rRNA from 1 species
UACGUAGGGUGCAAGCGUUGUCCGGAAUUAUUGGGCGUAAAGAGCUCGUAGGCGGUUUGUCGCGUCUGCUGUGAAAACUCGGGGCUUAACUCCGGAUCUGCGGUGGGUACGGGCAGACUAGAGUGAUGUAGGGGAGACUGGAAUUCCUGGUGUAGCGGUGAAAUGCGCAGAUAUCAGGAGGAACACCGAUGGCGAAGGCAGGUCUCUGGGCAUUAACUGACGCUGAGGAGCGAAAGCAUGGGGAGCGAACAGG